UGGGUAACCUGCCUCAAAGAGGGGAAUAGCCUCCCGAAAGGGAGAUUAAUACCGCAUAAUAUGUUUAAGUCGCAUGACUUUAACAUCAAAGGAUUUUCUUUUAGAAAUUCCACUUUGAGAUGGACCCGCGGCGCAUUAGCUAGUUGGUGAGGUAACGGCUCACCAAGGCAACGAUGCGUAGCCGACCUGAGAGGGUGAUCGGCCACAUUGGAACUAAGACAUGGUCCAGACUCCGUAGGAGG
rnacentral:rRNA from 1 species